rnacentral:rRNA from 1 species
UUCAGGCCGAGUUUGAUCCUGGCUCAGAUUGAACGCUGGCGGCAGGCCUAACACAUGCAAGUCGAGCGGAAACGGCAGUAUUGAAGCUUCGGUGGAUUUACUGGACGUCGAGCGGCGGACGGGUGAGUAACGGCUGGGAACCUGCCCUGACGAGGGGGAUAACCGUUGGAAACGACGGCUAAUACCGCAUAAUGUCUUAGAUUCAUUAGAGCUGGGACUUCAAAGGUGGCCUCUACAUGUAAGCUAUCGCGUUGGGAUGGGCCCAGUUAGGAUUAGCUAGUUGGUAAGGUAAUGGCUUACCAAGGCAACGAUCCUUAGCUGGUUUGAGAGGAUGAUCAGCCACACUGGGACUGAGACACGGCGCCCAGACUCCUACGGGAGGCAGCAGUGGGGAAUAUUGCACAAUGGGGGAGACCCUGAUGCAGCCAUGCCGCGUGUGUGAAGAAGGCCUUCGGGUUGUAAAGCACUUUCAGCAGUGAGGAAGGUCGUGUACUUAAUACGUGCACGGCUUGACGUUAGCUGCAGAAGAAGCACCGGCUAACUCCGUGCCAGCAGCCGCGGUAAUACGGAGGGUGCGAGCGUUAAUCGGAAUUACUGGGCGUAAAGCGCAUGCAGGCGGUUUGUUAAGUCAGAUGUGAAAGCCCGGGGCUCAACCUCGGAACCGCAUUUGAAACUGGCAGGCUAGAGUCUUGUAGAGGGGGGUAGAAUUUCAGGUGUAGCGGUGAAAUGCGUAGAGAUCUGAAGGAAUACCAGUGGCGAAGGCGGCCCCCUGGACAAAGACUGACGCUCAGAUGCGAAAGCGUGGGUAGCAAACAGGAUUAGAUACCCUGGUAGUCCACGCCGUAAACGCUGUCUACUUGGAGGUUGAGGUUUUAGACUUUGGCUUUCGGAGCUAACGCAUUAAGUAGACCGCCUGGGGAGUACGGCCGCAAGGUUAAAACUCAAAUGAAUUGACGGGGGNCCGCACAAGCGGUGGAGCAUGUGGUUUAAUUCGAUGCAACGCGAAGAACCUUACCUACUCUUGACAUCCAGCGAAGCCUUUAGAGAUAGAGGUGUGCCUUCGGGAGCGCUGAGACAGGUGCUGCAUGGCUGUCGUCAGCUCGUGUUGUGAAAUGUUGGGUUAAGUCCCGCAACGAGCGCAACCCUUAUCCUUGUUUGCCAGCACNUAAUGGUGGGAACUCCAGGGAGACUGCCGGUGAUAAACCGGAGGAAGGUGGGGACGACGUCAAGUCAUCAUGGCCCUUACGAGUAGGGCUACACACGUGCUACAAUGGCAGAUACAGAGGGCAGCGAGACAGCGAUGUUUAGCGAAUCCCUUAAAGUUUGUCGUAGUCCGGAUUGGAGUCUGCAACUCGACUCCAUGAAGUCGGAAUCGCUAGUAAUCGUGGAUCAGAAUGCCACGGUGAAUACGUUCCCGGGCCUUGUACACACCGCCCGUCACACCAUGGGAGUGGGCUGCACCAGAAGUAGAUAGCUUAACCUUCGGGAGGGCGUUUAGGCCUACU